UGAAUACGAGAUGCUACGGCGUCGAAGCAGUGUAUGUCAGACUUCCAAGAAAAGCUCGCAAUGUCAUAAAUAAAGAAUGCCUGUACCAUAACCGACACAGGUGGGUAGGUAGAGUAUACUAAGGGGCGCGAGAUAACUCUCUCUAAGGAACUCGGCAAAAUAACUCCGUAACUUCGGGAGAAGGAGUGCCUUCUUUAAGAAGGUUGCAAUAACAAGAUCCAAGCAACUGUUUAUCAAAAACACAGGUCUCCGCUAAGUCGUAAGACGAUGUAUGGGGGCUGACGCCUGCCCAGUGCCAGAAGGUUAAAGAAGUUGGUUAGCUUUUGCGAAGCUGAUGACUGAAGCCCUGGUGAACGGCGACCGUAACUAUAACGGUCCUAAGGUAGCGAAAUUCCUUGUCGGGUAAGUUCCGACCCGCACGAAAGGCGUAAUGAUUUGGAUACUGUCUCGGAGAGGGACUCGGUGAAAUAGACUUGUCUGUGAAGAUGCGGACUACCUGCACCAGGACAGAAAGACCCUAUGAAGCUUUACUGUAACUUGAAAUUGAAAUUGGACUUUAUUUGCGCAGUAUAGGUGGAAGGCGUUGAAAGUAAUCUUGCGGGAUUAGUGGAGCCAUCAGUGAGAUACCACUCCUAUAAUGUUAGAUUUCUAACUUUGGAUCAUGAUCUGGUCAAAGAACAGUUUCAGGCGGGCAGUUUGACUGGGGCGGUCGCCUCCCAAAUGGUAACGGAGGCGUACAAAGGUUUCCUCUGAACGGGUAGAAAUCGUAUCUAGAGUGUAAAGGCAUAAGGAAGCUUGACUGUGAGACCUACAAGUCGAGCAGGGACGAAAGUCGGUCUUAGUGAUCUGACGGUGCUGAGUGGAAAGGCCGUCACUCAACGGAUAAAAGUUACUCUAGGAUAACAGGCUGAUCUCCCCCAAGAGUUCACAUCGACGGGGAGGUUUGGCACCUCGAUGUCGGCUCAUCGCAUCCUGGGGCGGUAGUACGUCCCAAGGGUUGGGCUGUUCGCCCAUGAAAGCGGUACGCGAGCUGGGUUCAGAACGUCGUGAGACAGUUCGGUCCAUAUCCGGUGUAGGCGUUAGAAUAUUGAGAGGAGCCUUCUUUAGUACGAGAGGACCGAGAAGGACAUACCUCUGGUGUACCAGUUAUCGUGCCAACGGUAAACGCUGGGUAGCUAUGUAUGGAGAGGAUAACCGCUGAAAGCAUCUAAGUGGGAAGCCCACCUCAAGAUGAGUAUUCUCAUC
rnacentral:rRNA from 1 species